rnacentral:rRNA from 1 species
GGAUGAACGCUAGCUACAGGCUUAACACAUGCAAGUCGAGGGGCAGCAUGGUCUUAGCUUGCUAAGGCCGAUGGCGACCGGCGCACGGGUGAGUAACGCGUAUCCAACCUGCCUUACACUCUUGGACAGCCUUCUGAAAGGGAGAUUAAUACAAGAUGUUAUCAUGAGUAAGCAUUUUCGCAUGAUUAAAGGUUUACCGGUGUAAGAUGGGGAUGCGUUCCAUUAGAUAGUAGGCGGGGUAACGGCCCACCUAGUCUUCGAUGGAUAGGGGUUCUGAGAGGAAGGUCCCCCACAUUGGAACUGAGACACGGUCCAAACUCCUACGGGAGGCAGCAGUGAGGAAUAUUGGUCAAUGGACGAGAGUCUGAACCAGCCAAGUAGCGUGAAGGAUGAAGGUUCUAUGGAUUGUAAACUUCUUUUAUACGGGAAUAAACGAAUCCACGCGUGGAUUUUUGCAUGUACCGUAUGAAUAAGGAUCGGCUAACUCCGUGCCAGCAGCCGCGGUAAUACGGAGGAUCCGAGCGUUAUCCGGAUUUAUUGGGUUUAAAGGGAGCGUAGAUGGGUUGUUAAGUCAGUUGUGAAAGUUUGCGGCUCAACCGUAAAAUUGCAAUUGAUACUGGCAGUCUUGAGUACAGUUGAGGUAGGCGGAAUUCGUGGUGUAGCGGUGAAAUGCUUAGAUAUCACGAGGAACUCCGAUUGCGAAGGCAGCUUACUAACCUGUAACUGACAUUGAUGCUCGAAAGUGUGGGUAUCAAACAGGAUUAGAUACCCUGGUAGUCCACACGGUAAACGAUGAAUACUCGCUGUAGGCGAUAUACAGUCUGCGGCCAAGCGAAAGCAUUAAGUAUUCCACCUGGGGAGUACGCCGGCAACGGUGAAACUCAAAGGAAUUGACGGGGGCCCGCACAAGCGGAGGAACAUGUGGUUUAAUUCGAUGAUACGCGAGGAACCUUACCCGGGCUUAAAUUGCAACCGAAUAUGGCGGAAACGCUAUAGCUAGCAAUAGCGGUUGUGAAGGUGCUGCAUGGUUGUCGUCAGCUCGUGCCGUGAGGUGUCGGCUUAAGUGCCAUAACGAGCGCAACCCUUGCCGAUAGUUACUAACAGGUUAUGCUGAGGACUCUGUCGGGACUGCCAUCGUAAGAUGUGAGGAAGGUGGGGAUGACGUCAAAUCAGCACGGCCCUUACGUCCGGGGCUACACACGUGUUACAAUGGGGGGUACAGAGGGCUGCUACCACGCAAGUGGAUGCCAAUCCCAAAAACCUCUCUCAGUUCGGAUUGAAGUCUGCAACCCGACUUCAUGAAGCUGGAUUCGCUAGUAAUCGCGCAUCAGCCACGGCGCGGUGAAUACGUUCCCGGGCCUUGUACACACCGCCCGUCAAGCCAUGGGAGCCGGGGGUACCUGAAGUGCGUAACCGCAAGGAGCGCCCUAGGGUA